UUGAACGCUGGCGGCGGGCCUAACACAUGCAAGUCGAGCGCGAAAGGUUUUCGGACUGAGUAAAGCGGCGGACGGGUGAGUAACGCGUGGGAAUCUGCCCAGUAGUGGGGGACAACAGUCGGAAACGACUGCUAAUACCGCAUACGCCCUACGGGGGAAAGGGGGGGAUCUUCGGACCUCUCGCUAUUGGAUGAGCCCGCGUCGGAUUAGCUAGUUGGUAGGGUAAAGGCCUACCAAGGCUACGAUCCGUAACUGGUCUGAGAGGAUGAUCAGUCACACUGGAACUGAGACACGGUCAGACUCCUACGGGAGGCAGCAGUGGGGAAUAUUGGACAAUGGGGCAACCCUGAUCCAGCCAUGCCGCGUGUGUGAAGAAGGCCUUAGGGUUGUAAAGCACUUUCAGUGGGGAGAAAGGUUUGUCACCUAAUACGUGAUGAAAUUGAUGUUACCCACAGAAGAAGCACCGGCUAACUCCGUGCCAGCAGCCGCCGCCG
rnacentral:rRNA from 1 species